AAUCAACGCUGGCGGCGUGCCUCAGACAUGCAAGUCGAACGAUUAAAGCUCUCUUCGGAGAGUGCAUAGAGUGGCGCACGGGUGAGUAACACGUAAGUAAUCUACCCUCGAGUGGGGAAUAACGUCCGGAAACGGACGCUAAUACCGCAUAAUGCAGCGGCACCGCAAGGUGACAGUUGUUAAAGAUUUAUCGCUUGAGGAGGAGCUUGCGGCAGAUUAGCUAGUUGGUAAGGUAAUGGCUUACCAAGGUUACGAUCUGUAACCGGUCUAAGAGGACGGUCGGUCACACUGACACUGAAUAACGGGUCAGACUCCUACGGGAGGCAGCAGUCGGGAAUUUUGGGCAAUGGGCGAAAGCCUGACCCAGCAACGCCGCGUGAAGGAUGAAGUAUUUCGGUAUGUAAACUUCGAAAGAAUAGGAAGAAUAAAUGACGGUACUAUUUAUAAGGUCCGGCUAACUACGUG
rnacentral:rRNA from 1 species